rnacentral:rRNA from 1 species
UGAGGAAUAUUCCACAAUGGGCGAAAGCCUGAUGGAGCGACGCCGCGUGAGGGAAGAAGCCUUUCGGGGUGUAAACCUCUUUUAUGGGGGAUGACACGCUCUCUUUCCAACUUCUCGCAAGAGGAGGGAAGGAAGGGAACUAGGACAGUACCCCGUGAAUAAGCCUCGGCUAACUACGUGCCAGCAGCCGCGGUAAUACGUAGGAGGCGAGCGUUGUCCGGAUUUACUGGGCGUAAAGAGCGCGCAGGCGGCACGCUAAGUACUUUGUGAAAUCUCCCUGCUCAACGGGGAGGGAGCAGAGUAGACUGGCGAGCUAGAGGACGGUAGAGGGGGGUAGAACUGCUGGUGUAGCGGUGAAAUGCGUAGAGAUCAGCAAGAAUACCCGUGGCGAAGGCGGCCCCCUGGGCCGAACCUGACGCUGAGGCGCGAAGGCUAGGGGAGCGAACGGGAUUAGAUACCCCCGUAGUCC